UACGUAGGGCGCAAGCGUUGUUCGGAAUUAUUGGGCGUAAAGGGAGUGUAGGCGGUUUCCUAAGUCUUCUGUGAAAUCUACGGGCUUAGCCUGUAACGUGCAGAGGAAACUGGGAGACUUGAGUGUCGGAGAGGAUAGGGGAAUACCCAGUGUAGAGGUGAAAUUCGUAGAGAUUGGGUGGAACACCAGUGGCGAAGGCGCCUGUCUGGCUGACAACUGACGCUGAGACUCGAAAGCAUGGGGAGCAAACAGG
rnacentral:rRNA from 1 species